UAAGCAAAAGAAGACAGACAUAAAAGGUCACAUACUAUAUGAUUCCAUUUAUAUGAAAAGUCCAAAAUAGGCAAAUCCGUACAGACAGAAAGUAGAUUAAUGGUCACUAGAGCUAGGAGGAAGGGGAUACGGGGAGUGACUGUUUAAUGGGUAUGGGUUUGGGUGAUGGAAAUGUUUUAAAACUAGGUGAGGUGAUGCUUGCACAACCUUGUGAAUGUACUAAACGUCACUAAACUGUGGAUCUUCAGAUGGUUAACUGUAUAUUACGUGAAUUUUACCUCAAUU